rnacentral:rRNA from 1 species
UACGUAGGGGGCAAGCGUUGUCCGGAAUCAUUGGGCGUAAAGAGCGUGUAGGCGGUUCGGUAAGUCUGCUGUGAAAGUCCAAGGCUCAACCUUGGGAUGCCGGUGGAUACUGUCGAACUCGAGUCCGGAAGAGGAGUGUGGAAUUCCUGGUGUAGCGGUGAAAUGCGCAGAUAUCAGGAGGAACACCGAUGGCGAAGGCAGCACUCUGGGACGUGACUGACGCUGAGACGCGAAAGCGUGGGGAGCAAACGGG